GUUGAUUCAGCUGAUCUGGCUGGCUAGGCGAAUGUCCCCUUCCUCCCUCACCGCUCCAUGUGCGUCCCUCUAGGAGCUGCAUGCUCAAAGAGAACAACCACCCCCAUAGAGGAGGACUGUUUUCUCCAUCAGAGGUGUAAGAGUAGCUGCACUCCCCUGCUAGAACCUCCAAACAAGCUCUCAAAUAACCUCUCAUUUCAUUUGUGGUUUCUUUUUUCACA
rfam:Fukomys damarensis contig16830, whole genome shotgun sequence.